rnacentral:rRNA from 1 species
GUUUUCAGCCAUACACCUGAAUGUGCCAAAUCUCAUCUGAUCUUGGAAACUAAGCAGGGUUGAGCCUGGCAAGUCCUGGGAUGGGAACA